GACUGCGUAGCUCAGUUGGCAGAGCAUUGGGCUAGUAUUCCAAAGGUCGUAGGUUCGAAUCCCACCGUGGUCA